rnacentral:rRNA from 1 species
AGUGAACGCUGGCGGUAGGCCUAGCACAUGCAAGUCGAACGGCAGCACAGUAAGAGCUUGCUCUUACGGGUGGCGAGUGGCGGACGGGUGAGGAAUACAUCGGAAUCUACUUUUUCGUGGGGGAUAACGUAGGGAAACUUACGCUAAUACCGCAUACGACCUACGGGUGAAAGCAGGGGAUCUUCGGACCUUGCGCGAUUGAAUGAGCCGAUGUCGGAUUAGCUAGUUGGCGGGGUAAAGGCCCACCAAGGCGACGAUCCGUAGCUGGUCUGAGAGGAUGAUCAGCCACACUGGAACUGAGACACGAUCCAGACUCCUACGGGAGGCAGCAGUGGGGAAUAUUGGACAAUGGGCGCAAGCCUGAUCCAGCCAUACCGCGUGGGUGAAGAAGGCCUUCGGGUUGUAAAGCCCUUUUGUUGGGAAAGAAAAGCAGCAGGUUAAUACCCCGCUGUUCUGACGGUACCCAAAGAAUAAGCACCGGCUAACUUCGUG